rnacentral:rRNA from 1 species
ACCGGCGCACGGGUGCGUAACGCGUAUGCACCUACCCAUUACUGGGGGAUAGCUUUCGGAAACGGAAAUUAAUACCCCAUAGUUUGGCAUCAUUAAAGAUUUAUUGGUAAUGGAUGGGCAUGCGUACCAUUAGUUAGUUGGUGAGGUAAUGGCUCACCAAGACGAUGAUGGUUAGGGGGCCUGAGAGGGUGAUCCCCCACACUGGUACUGAGAUACGGACCAGACUCCUACGGGAGGCAGCAGUAGGGAAUAUUGGUCAAUGGACGAGAGUCUGAACCAGCCAUGCCGCGUGCAGGAAGACGGCCUUCGGGUUGUAAACUGCUUUUGACAGGGAAGAAAAUGUCCAUGCGUGGAUAACUGACGGUACCUGUAGAAUAAGCACCGGCUAACUCCGUGCCAGCAGCCGCGGUAAUACGGAGGGUGCAAGCGUUGUCCGGAUUUAUUGGGUUUAAAGGGUGCGUAGGUGGCCUUAUAAGUCAGUGGUGAAAUUCUGUAGCUUAACUAUAGAACUGCCAUUGAUACUGUAGGGCUUGAGUGUCGUUAAGGCAGGCGGAAUUUAUGGUGUAGCGGUGAAAUGCAUAGAUACCAUAAAGAACACCGAUAGCGAACGCAGCUUGCUUAGCGCACUGACACUGAUGCACGAAGCGUGGGUAGCGACCAGAUAGAUACCCUGGUAGUCCACGCCGA